rnacentral:lncRNA from 1 species
GGACAGUGCAAGAGCUGAGCAGAGAUGGCAGUCUGGCUGCAUGGUUUUUAACGGUGUGCUUUAUAAAAGCUACUUGCUUCUCCUUUGCCUUCCACCAUGAUUGUAAGUUUCCUGAGGCCUCCCCAGCCAUGCAGAGCAGAACUAUAAAAAAUUUCCAUUGGCAUUUGCUUCAUGGAAUUGGUUUACCUUCACAGCAUUGAGAGCACCCAGAUGACAUCACCUCUGAAGGGAAGAAUAAUUACAGUAAAUGGCUGAUCAAGAAUUCCCUGAGCCUCAGAAAGUGUGGGUUACCCCAUGCACAGAUCCAAUGGGGAACUUCCC